GUGAUGGAUGAAGAUGAAGAGCUGGAGAGAGGGAUGCUGAGUAUCUCUCCUCCCCAAGCAACAUGUGCAGAGCUGCUUUUUCCUUAGAACCAUCUGCUGCACUGGCUGCACCAACUCAUCUGAAGGGUUCACAUAGAGGCUCUAACUGUAAAGAGACCAGUGCCUGUUCCCCAGGACCUCAUGUGUCUGCUGCCAGAAGGAGCGGGUCGUCCAUCAACAGUUCCUGGUGUGUAUUAUUUCACCUGUAUUUGCAUCUUUAAAUUAUCCAUAUGUAGUUUCCAUCAAAACUGUUGUUAAUUCUUUAAAGUUGCUGGUGCACUGUAUUCGGACAAAAAGUAGAGUUUCACAGACUACAGUGUAGAUGUCAUGUUACAUUCUUGCUUCACGUUACUGUCAAUGAUAAUAACAUGUUUAAUAUUCUCUAUAGUGUCAG